rnacentral:rRNA from 1 species
CCUACGGGAGGCAGCAGUGGGGGAUAUUGGACAAUGGCGGGAACCCUGAUCCAGCGACGCCGCGUGAGUGAAGAAGUAUUUCGGUAUGUAAAGCUCUGUCAGCAGGGAAGAAAGAAAUGACGGUACCUGACCACGAAGCCCCGGCUAACUACGUGCAAGCAGCCGCGGUAAUACGUCGGGGGCAAGCGUUCUCCGGAAUUACUGGGUGUAAAGGGAGCGUAGACGGUUAAGUAAGUCUGGAGUGAAAGGCCGGGGGCCAACCCCGGGACUGCUGUGGAAACUAUUGAACUUGAGUGCAGGAGAGGUAAGCGGAAUGCCUAGUGUAGCGGUGAAAUGCGUAGAUAUUAGGAGGAACACCAGUGGCGAAGGCAGCUUACUGGAGUGUAUCUGACGUUGAGGCACGAAAGCGUGGGGAGCAAACAGGAUUAGAUACCCUUGUAGUC